rnacentral:pre_miRNA from 1 species
AUUUCAAUCACCUGGGGAUCCUGCUGAAAGGCAGAUUCUGAUACAGCCGGUGGGGGAUGGGAGCCUGAGAUUCUGCCUUUCUAAGUAGCUUGGUGGUGCCAUC